GACGUAGGGCGCGAGCGUUGUCCGGAUUUAUUGGGCGUAAAGAGCUCGUAGGCGGCUUGUUGCGUCGACUGUGAAAACCCGCGGCUUAACUGCGGGCUUGCAGUUGAUACGGGCAGGCUAGAGUUCGGUAGGGGAGACUGGAAUUCCUGGUGUAGCGGUGAAAUGCGCAGAUAUCAGGAGGAACACCGGUGGCGAAGGCGGGUCUCUGGGCCGAUAUUGACGCUGAGGAGCGAAAGCGUGGGGAGCGAACAGG
rnacentral:rRNA from 1 species